rnacentral:tRNA from 1 species
GUGGAGAUGGCUCAGUGAGCAAGAGCACUUGCUGGCCAAGUGUGAGGACCUGAGUUCGAAUCCCCAGUAUCCACA